CAAAAAGUGUAUAUAUAAGGUGAGGUUUUGAUAUGGGGAUUCUUUGUGAGCAGAUUAGAUCAAGCUAAUUAACAGUCAUCACCUCUUUUUUACGUAGAGAACUUUUAAGAUCUCAGUUUUCAAGUAUACAUUAUUCUUAACCAUAGUCACCAUAUUAGACAAUAGAUGUACAGUAUUCACAGUAACAAGCAUUGCACCCUAUGAUCAUUGUCUUUCCCUUUCCAACCUCCCUUCACUCUCUUCCACCAAGAAGUGCUUUUGAAACUAAGGGCUUGCUAGGGCAGUGGUUAAGGGUAUUUGAUAAGUAAAUUGAUUACGAAAUGUUCUGGUGAAUGCCAAAUCUAUCUGGCAAUUUCAAGCCAACUCAAAAGAUGAGGUCUGUAAACUUUUCACCUCUUCCACUGAGUUAGAAAGGCUUUGGACCUGUAUCCCUUAUCCUAAAUAGACCGAUAUUUUCUGAAACAAGAACCUGUUUAUUUUAAGUCUGAACUUUUGAAAAUGUCCUCUUGUUUGUUCUGUUAUAUAGUUUUUUUUG
rnacentral:lncRNA from 1 species